UAUCAAUAAGCGGAGGAAAAGAAACCAACAGGGAUUGCCUUAGUAACGGCGAGUGAAGCGGCAACAGCUCAAAUUUGAAAUCUGGCCCUCGGGUCCGAAUUGUAAUUUGUAGAGGAUGAUUUGGGUGCGGUAUCUUCCGAGUUCCUUGGAACAGGACGCCUUAGAGGGUGAGAGCCCCGUACGGUUGAAUGCCUAGCCUCUGUAAAUCUCCUUCGACGAGUCGAGUAGUUUGGGAAUGCUGCUCUAAAUGGGAGGUAAAUUUCUUCUAAAGCUAAAUAUUGGCCAGAGACCGAUAGCGCACAAGUAGAGUGAUCGAAAGAUGAAAAGCACUUUGAAAAGAGGGUUAAAUAGCACGUGAAAUUGUUGAAAGGGAAGGAUUUGUGACCAGACUUUUUCUGGGCGGAUCAUCCGGGGUUCUCUCCGGUGCACUUUGCCCAGUAAAGGCCAGCAUCGAUUUUCGGCGGCGGAUAAAAGCAGUGGGAAUGUGGCUCCCUACGGGGAGUGUUAUAGCCCAUUGUAUAAUACGCUGCUGGGGAUCGAGGUACGCGCUUCUGCAAGGAUGCUGGCGUAAUGGUUAUCAAUCACCCGUCUUGAAACACGGACCAAGGAGUCGAACAUUUAUGCGAGUGUUUGGGUGUUAAACCCUCACGCGUAAUGAAAGUGAACGGAGGUGAGAGCCCGUACGGGUGCAUCAUCGACCGAUCCUGAAGUUUUCGGAUGGAUUUGAGUAAGAGCAUAACUGUUCGGACCCGAAAGAUGGUGAACUAUGCGUGGAUAGGGUGAAGCCAGAGGAAACUCUGGUGGAGGCUCGCAGCGGUUCUGACGUGCAAAUCGAUCGUCAAAUCUGCGCAUGGGGGCGAAAGACUAAUCGAACCAUCUAGUAGCUGGUUA
rnacentral:rRNA from 1 species